GUUCGCCGGAGCCAACGGAGAUCACUUCACUCGUUCUCGAUAUACCUCGCCUUGUUUUCUCACUCACAAAACGUUAAACUUGCGCCGGAGAAACCCAUACUUGUCGGAGUUCGUUAACCUACCAUCUCCCUCUCUCGCUCGGUAACAAGCAACCGGAACCAAGAGGAAACCCAUCGUAGGAACUAGACACGCCGGGGAUACGCCGCCGGAGACCGAGAAGAAGAUCGGAGAAGACGACCGGAAUUCACGACGGACUCUAGCUCGAAUCGUCAUGUGUUCGGAUAAUCGUUCUCAUACUCUUGGAAUUCUCCAUCUUUAAUUGUGCGUUAUUUCAAGGAAUCUCCAAACGCAACCAAUGUUAAUUGUUGAAGUAUGGACAUGAUGAAACGAGAUUUAGG
rnacentral:lncRNA from 1 species